rnacentral:rRNA from 1 species
GUAUAAGAGACAGCAGUCGCCGCGGUAAUACAGAGGGUGCGAGCGUUAAUCGGAUUUACUGGGCGUAAAGCGUGCGUAGGCGGCUUCUUAAGUCGGAUGUGAAAUCCCUGAGCUUAACUUAGGAAUUGCAUUCGAUACUGGGAAGCUAGAGUAUGGGAGAGGAUGGUAGAAUUCCAGGUGUAGCGGUGAAAUGCGUAGAGAUCUGGAGGAAUACCGAUGGCGAAGGCAGCCAUCUGGCCUAAUACUGACGCUGAGGUACGAAAGCAUGGGGAGCAAACAGGAUUAGAUACCCGAGUAGUCCCUGUCUCUUAUAC